GAUGAACGCUGGCGGCGUGCCUAAUACAUGCAAGUCGGGCGAACGGACGAGAAGCUUGCUUCUCUGAUGUUAGCGGCGGACGGGUGAGUAACACGUGGAUAACCUACCUAUAAGACUGGGAUAACUUCGGGAAACCGGAGCUAAUACCGGAUGAUAUCUUGAACCGCAUGGUUCAAAAGUGAAAGACGGUCUUGCUGUCACUUAUAGAUGGAUCCGCGCUGCAUUAGCUAGUUGGUAAGGUAACGGCUUACCAAGGCAACGAUGCAUAGACGACCUGAGAGGGUGAUCGGCCACACUGGAACUGAGACGCGGUCCAGACUCCUACGGGAGGCAGCAGUAGGGAAUCUUCCGCAAUGGGCGAAAGCCUGACGGAGCAACGCCGCGUGAGUGAUGAAGGUCUUCGGAUCGUAAAACUCUGUUAUUAGGGAAGAACAUAUGUGUAAGGAGCUGUGCACGUCUUGACGGUACCUAAUCAGGAAGCCACGGCUAACUACGUG
rnacentral:rRNA from 1 species